CCUCAGGGCAAAAAUCCCCAUCACUGCUGAAUAACGGCCCCCACCCCAUCCACACGCAGAGGUGAAGGAGGAAAGAACACUAAUCUUCUGUGUGGUUUUGGGCAUGCCCUGCGCGUAAUUAGAAACCCAGUUGGUGUGAUGAAAGAAGAUGAAGUAUAAACUCGAAACUGGGCUUGCAGCCAUAAAGGGGCAGGCAGACUUCGUCCUGAAACAUUAGACUGUGGGCGGUACUCCAAAUAAGCUGACUUAAGCCAAAGGAAGUGAAUUAUGGCUUCUACUUUGGAGAGUUAAACAGAGAUCACGGUGAUUAUACAAUUUUAAAUACUGGGUACCAAGAUUUGACCCUGGGCCCCAGGGAAAAUUCAAGGCUCCCUUGGCCACUCUUG
rnacentral:lncRNA from 1 species